rnacentral:tRNA from 5 species
UGAGCUAUGGUGUAAUGGUAACACAACAGAUUCUGGUCCUGUUAUUCUUGGUUCGAAUCCAGGUAGCUCAACAA